GUCUCCCACAAGUCGAUGUCAAUGUUGCAUUUUUUUCAAGUUGGUCUUGGGGAUGUCCUUGAAGCACUUUCUUUGUCCCCCCUCUUGAGCAUACAUCUUGACUGAGCUGGAAGAAUAAAACUUGGUUCAGGAGUCUGAAGUUGGACAUCUGGACAAAGUGUUAGAAGUAGAAGAGUUUACAGUGUAGUCUAAAUAACCCUGUGAGUUAUGCAUGAUCUUUUUUGGUACUGUUGUGAAGUAGACUGAAUGUCCCUGGAUGUAAAAGGUACAGCCAUUCUCCACUUUAUUUCACUUUAACUUGUUGCAGUGGAGACCAGCAGGUCCCUCUCCUGGCAGAAACCUGGAAGGAAAAAAUUCAAAACAACCCAGAAGGAACCAGAAACCUGAGAAAGGAAGAGAGACAGCUGAAAUAAUGCCCUCAUGGGAAUCUGCUUAUUGUACAUUACAGUUCAUCUGGAUGGGUAUAUUAAUUUGUGUCUCACUGUGAGAAGGGUCAAGCAAAUUGGUUUCAUUUAUAUAAUCAGCUUGACACUUCUGACCCAAAUUUCAGUCUGCCUCAGUCAUUACUGAGAACUGGGGGAAACACCAAAGAUAUAUAGAAGUUUAGAUAAAUGUCCAACCCCCCCCCAAAAUAAAAAAUAAAAAUAAAAAAAUUGUUCCAGAAUGUUUAUCCUGGAGAACAGGCUGGAAAUCUGGUGGGAACAGGUUUUAUCCUAGUUUUGAGCUGAAAAUAGCCUUACUCAUAGCAUUACAUUAUAUUUGAUUCCUAUCCUGGCUGGAACAAAAUAUUAGGAGCUCCAGGGAGAUUUGAAAGGCACAAACAAAACUACCAAAGCUUUCUGACUAUCCAAAAUAAGCUCUAGUCGAGUCUUGGGUGAUGUUCUAGUUUGCUGAGGUUUCUAUUUCAGCCAAGCUGGUUAAUAAUAACAGAUGAAAGUCAAGUAUUUACUCAAGUUAUUUCCCUAUUGACUUGCUUGAUUUGGGUCUGUCAAAGGAGAAUAAAGAGAUCUGUAUUUGGCCAGUUAGUAGGAAUGGUCAGUGUUUCUAUAGCAUUUUUCAUCCAGGCCCUCUAAAGAUUUGGCUAAGUCUCACUAUCAUCAUGUUACAGCUGGGGAAUGGGUGGCAAAGGGAUUUGUCUAGGGUCAUGCAGUGAGCCAUUGUCAGAGCUGGGGAUAGAGCCCAGGCUGUUUGACUCCUUAGCCUGUUCUCUGCCCAGCACAUCAUGCUUCCUUUUGCUCAGCUACCCAGUGGGAUCUUCCCUGGGCAUUUGUGAAGCAAAGUGGCCUGAUCUUUACAGCAGCUGUUUCUGAACACAAGUCACAUGCUGCAUACACAAAAUUGAUCUCGCUAGUUAAAAUAAUGCAUGCUAGUCUCUAGAGAAAAGUAUCCAGAGGUGGCUAUGACUAGACUAGAUAAGUUCCUUUGCACAACAACUUUUUAAAAAUAUGGGACCAAGCGAUCCCAGUGAAGCAAAACACCUGGAGAAAUUAUAAUGUCCACAGCAACCUUACAAGAUUUUUGUAGCGUAUUCCUGCAGAAGAGAGGCCGAGAGAGUUGUCUCUGAAGUUGUAUCUUCUGAUACCCAGUGGUCAUUUUAUUGUAAGCUGAACUGGUGUUUUAGUAUGGACUGUUUGUCAUUGGCACUUACAGGCUUGGAAUGACAAGUCUAUCCAAAGUUGGGGGGUUUAUAGGAAAUGCUUAUCUAGCUUCUGUCUCCUGGAAAUCCCACAGUCCCAGUGGGAUGACUUUAGUGGGAAGAGUCUGGGCCAUGAGUGGUAGCUUUUGGUGCACAUUCCUCUGCUUGGGAUGAAUUCCACGUUAGAAGAGGUAAUGUUUUCCACAGUGAAAUUGUUCUGCAACCUCAAAAGGGCUCCAUUGUCCAUUGCUUGCUUUCCCCCCUGAGGCUUUUGCCCAGGAAAUGCUGGGUUUCCACUGCAUGUGAUUUGCACACGUUCUUGUUUGUGUAAGCAACGUUCUGCCACAUUCAGCAAACACUAAAAUUCACAUGCGGCAAAGGCCCAUUAUUUUCCAGUUUCGGGUGGGGGUGGAGGGUUGCAUUCCAGCCCUGAUUUUAUCUGCUAAUAUCAUAUUUUGGCUUCAUUCCCUGAUAGUUUGAUGUCCCAAAUUUUCCUUGUUAGCACAGGGAAAUCACAAGCUGGUAGGGAGCAAACGCCAGUAGGUCUGGGAUUGAUUACAAACAAAACUCCCAGAUAAGAUCAUAAAUUUAACCCAUCUCUGUGAUGUGAUCGUAUCAGGAUUCAAGUACGUCUAAAAAGUUGUUUCCGAUUUUCAGCCACUUCAUAUGGUUUCUAUCCAUCCCGGCUGUGAGCGAAGCGCGCUCGUGGUGGGGACCCUAAUCCAUGCCAGCCCGGCUCAGGAGAAGCCCUCGUUUCUGUUAUUAUUGUAUUAUAAAAACGGAUAGAAAUGAUUCAGACAAGAUGGACAUUUCAAGGAGGAUCAGUUCAAACACUGGCAAGAUAAGAUGGGCUUGAUCAUAAGAAAACAGGGCUGUUUUCCCAUUUGGUUCCUGAGCUGAGUUGAAUUUAAACAAAUUCAUCCCCUGGGUUAACCCCAUCAAAGUCAAGGGAGCAGCACCAGCCCUGGAACUGGCUCCUGAUGCUUUAUACAUUAUAUAUAAUGAAGAUCUAUCUAUCUUUCUUUCUUUAAAGAAUGAUCUGAUUGAAACACAUUGGGUCAGUUUCAGGAAAAGCAGUAUAUAUAGCAUUUUACCGCUCCCUGAUCUCAAAUGCAUCUUCCACGCACCAGGAGAGAUUUUUGUGCUCGGCUUACAAUGGCUCCUGUGCUAACAUUUACCUCCCUUUAUACAGGCUGUACAUCUAAGCUGCCCUUUUUCCCUAGGGCAAAUGACCAUUGGGUUCCAGCUUCUUUGCCUGAAACCAGAUUGAGGGUUACACCUUCCUCAGUGCCAGGAGUCAAUGCUCUCCCAUCCAUCCCCCUCACCCUAUGGUACCAGGUGAUUUAAUGUUACUGUUGCUUUAACAGCCUCAUCGCUGUUCUGGCUACACAGUAGUUGUCUCCUGUGUGACUGUGCCUGGGAAAAUCUAUUACUGGAGUGUCAUUAAUCUGAGGCUGCCGCCUCUGGCACUUUCUGACUCUUCUAUUUAAUGGGCCUGUGCUUCCUGAGCUCUGGAGACAUGCUGUUUUCCUCUCUUGAUCAGCUUUGUUUAAUUAUCAAAAUAUUUGAUGCAGAAAAUUGACAUUAGUGGUGAAGGUUUCUGCCUUCCUCCUCUUCACACCCUCCCUCCCUGCCUCGUGGUGACAUUGAGAUCUUCCGCCUGCGCCGCCUGCACCACCUGCACCUUAAAAUAGCAAACCGCUUGUACAAUCAUGUGCUUGUCCAGGCGCGAGCAGCAUUAGCAAGCCACAGGUAGGGCUGCUGCAACCCCCUAGGUACACGGUGCAGCACCUCACCCAAGCGUGAAGAGACAGGGCUGCACAGGAAACACAGCUGCACCUUCCCAUGGCAUCGCGUUCUCUGCCUGCAAAUCCAGUCAUGAACUAUGCCAGUGGUUUCGCCAAGUCUGCCUGUGGGGAGAGUCUCCAGCCCCAAGUCCCAUCCCUCAGCAUGGGUUGAUUAAGAAAUACAAGAUGCAAAAAGGUUAAAAAAAAUACAGAGCAAGGUUUUGCAUUCUGCAGCUGGAGGAGGAGUGACACUACCGCUUCACUGACUGUGGGUCUCUCCUGAAUGCUUGAAAAGCAGGCAGCCUUAGAUCUUGCUUCCUGGCUGGGCUUAUGCCUGUGCCCAGAGACCGCAGCUCCUGAUUCUCAAAUUGGAGCCAUUACCUUGUCCUUGUCAAGAGAAGAUCAAGAAGCAACUUGAUUAUGGGACAUAUGCGUCUUCCCAAGCAACAAGAGAGGCACCCUAAGAAUGAAUGGCUGGAAGUUUAAAGCCAGAGAAGUUUAAACUGAA